ACCGUAUUCUGUGAGUUGCGAACGGGUGAGUAACGCGUAGGUAACCUGCCUGGUAGCGGGGGAUAACUAUUGGAAACGAUAGCUAAUACCGCAUAAGAACAUUUACUGCAUGGUAGAUGUUUAAAAGGUGCAAAUGCAUCACUACCAGAUGGACCUGCGUUGUAUUAGCUAGUAGGUGAGGUAACGGCUCACCUAGGCGACGAUACGUAGCCGACCUGAGAGGGUGAUCGGCCACGCUGGGACUGAGACACGGCCCAGACUCCUACGGGAGGCAGCAGUAGGGAAUCUUCGGCAAUGGGGGGAACCCUGACCGAGCAACGCCGCGUGAGUGAAGAAGGUUUUCGGAUCGUAAAGCUCUGUUGUUAAGGAAGAACGAGUGUGAGAAUGGAAAGUUCAUACUGUGACGGUACUUAACCAGAGAGGGACGGCUAACUACGUGCCAGCAGCCGCGGUAAUACGUAGGUCCCGAGCGUUGUCCGGAUUUAUUGGGCGUAAAGCGAGCGCAGGCGGUUAGAUAAGUCUGAAGUUAAAGGCAGUGGCUCAACCAUUGUAGGCUUUGGAAACUGUUUAACUUGAGUGCAGAAGGGGAGAGUGGAAUUCCAUGUGUAGCGGUGAAAUGCGUAGAUAUAUGGAGGAACACCGGUGGCGAAAGCGGCUCUCUGGUCUGUAACUGACGCUGAGGCUCGAAAGCGUGGGGAGCGAACAGGAUUAGAUACCCUGGUAGUCCACGCCGUAAACGAUGAGUGCUAGGUGUUAGGUCCUUUCCGGGACUUAGUGCCGCAGCUAACGCAUUAAGCACUCCGCCUGGGGAGUACG
rnacentral:rRNA from 1 species